UGGGGAAUAUUGGACAAUGGGCGAAAGCCUGAUCCAGCCAUGCCGCGUGUGUGAAGAAGGCCUUUUGGUUGUAAAGCACUUUAAGCGAGGAGGAGGCUACUUAGAUUAAUACUCUAGGAUAGUGGACGUUACUCGCAGAAUAAGCACCGGCUAACUCUGUGCCAGCAGCCGCGGUAAUACAGAGGGUGCGAGCGUUAAUCGGAUUUACUGGGCGUAAAGCGUGCGUAGGCGGCUUUUUAAGUCGGAUGUGAAAUCCCUGGGCUUAACUUAGGAAUUGCAUUCGAUACUAGGAAGCUAGAGUAUGGGAGAGGAUGGUAGAAUUCCAGGUGUAGCGGUGAAAUGCGUAGAGAUCUGGAGGAAUACCGAUGGCGAAGGCAGCCAUCUGGCCUAAUACUGACGCUGAGGUACGAAAGCAUGGGGAGCAAACAGG
rnacentral:rRNA from 1 species